rnacentral:rRNA from 1 species
AUGAUGGCUGCAAUCAAUUUGCUUCACAAUUACACUCACGAAGCUUUGCUACAUGAGAAAGAACUUCACAAGUGCACCUGGACUCUUCUGCGCAAACAUUAUGAUCUCAAGCAGCUCUCUGCGAAGGGAAUUGAAAAUGAAUAUGACUAUCUGAAAUUUUUUGAAGUUCCAUGCAUCCAAAUGCAAACCCCAGUACUUCCUCGUCAUUCUGACUCAACUGACCUUCUCUUUGUGGAACCAGAUGAUGAGAUUGAAGAUACUGUUGGCACUCUGAUAUUCAAACCUGAUGCUCCUCGCUCCACUCCUGAAGCCGCACCCGAAGCCCGUGCUAUGAGUCCUGCUCCUGCCUCAGCUUCAACUAUUCCUUGUUCUGUUUCAUCGAAUAGUUAA